UAAACGACUCUCGGCAACGGAUAUCUCGGCUCACGCAUCGAUGAAGAACGUAGCAAAAUGCGAUACUUGGUGUGAAUUGCAGAAUCCCGUGAACCAUCGAGUUUUUGAACGCAAGUUGCGCCCGAAGCCAUUCGGUCGAGGGCACGUCUGCCUGGGCGUCACGC
rnacentral:rRNA from 5 species